ACACUCUAAAAAAUGAUUCAUGGGGUUAGUAAGUAAAGCUUAAAAUCAAUAGCUUUUUCUGCAUAAAAAAUUAAGUUUGUUGCAUGUACACAUUGUAAUCAGUUGAUAACUUAAUUUAAUGAGUUGGUCGAAAUGAAAAUAAAGAAAACAGUCUUAGUUCAGUAAUAUAUCGAUUUUGAACAGACAUUUCUGUGUUAACUUAACAUGAAAGUGUAUUCAGUUAACACAACUUAAAAAUCUCGUAAGCGUCCUUUAAAAGCUGAGUACAAGGCUGACUCGCCCGGACAUGUUGUGCUCUCAGACUACUGAUCGAAAGAAACGGAGGCAAAGAGAGAAAGCGGAGAAGCGCCAUUUUGUACGGAACGUUAUCAAACGUUAAAGCUUUGUGGACGAUUCUGUGGAGAGAAGGCGAGAGGUCGCUAUCCGUGGCUUAGUGGUGUAUCUCAGGGAAAAGGAGGAGGAUCUCUUCAAAGAGCAGGAUGGUGGCGGGGAUAUUACCAAUGAAGUGAUGAAGAUUGUAACCAGAGGUGCCACAACGUCUGAUCCAGCCAGCGCAAGGAUCAUACUUGAAGGAACAGAAGUCCUAGCAGACCUGGAUGUACCCAGAGCCUGUGCCUUGCUAAUGGGGCUGAUAUAUGCACUCAACCUCAGCUACCCAAAAGAACUGAAAAACACUUUUGAAGUGUUUCAAAAGAUAUUCCUCGAGCUGGAUGAUCUGAAAGCCAGUCCUAAGGUAAUGUCACUAAAAAGUAAACUGUUGUACUAAAAAAUGUGAAGAGUGAGGCUAUCCUCAAAUUAAACGGGAAAUGUUCCACUGUUGUUUGCAAUGUGUUGUGUUACAUACUGUACAGUAGGCAGUAGGUGUAAAGUUGAGCGUUGAGCAUUAAGUACACCUAGUUCAAAAUAAUGCACUUUAAAAGGAUAGCUCGGGUCUUUUGAAGUGAGGCUGUAUGAGGUACAUAUGUAUAGUGAGUGUAUUACACACAGUAGAUGGCAGGCAGUAAGCUCCACCUACGGAGAAGCAGACGGGGGCCACCGGCACGCAAGAUGAGCCUCCAUCCUAAUAAAACUGAUGUCAGUUUAAAUGUACAUUAUAUCAAGAAUAUGUUUACUGCUUUAUUUUGCUAUCAGACAGCCUUUUCUGUGAGGAAAGAGAAGUUCUACUGCUUGUUGUUUCAAUCGCUCUGGCCCACCAGCGUCCAUGGACAAAAACAGCAAUUUUACCUGACAGCACACAGGAGUUGCUGGUCUCCUGCUGCCUUGAUCAGUAAGUGUAAUUGUGUUAUUUGGUGACUUUGGUGUUAGUUCGGGUUAGUUCAGAUUUACCAAAGUCACACAAACAAACUGAACCUAUCGUGCGUGUCGGUGGCAGGAAUGUGCUGACUGCUGUCUACUGUGUGUAAUACACUCACAAUGUACUUCAUACUUAAAAAAACCUAAACUAUCACUUUAACACAAACAAACUUGAAUCAGAGCAUGACUGUCAAAAUGUUCAGUCUUUUUGAGACAGAUUUACAGGGGUGUUUUGUGUCAUUUAUUUUAUGGAGGCAACAAUUUUGUCUGCUAUUGAAAUGUCAAUGACUCUGGAAUGGUGGACUGGUGUUCUAAUAAACAGUUUGAUCAUAAAACUGGAAUUUCAAUGUGUAAUUUAUUGUAUAAUUGUAAGUUAUAAGUUAUUGUAAGUUAUUAGUACUCAAAAAAAUUAAGGUAACAAUUUGCAUGGAUAUUUCUGAGUAGAAUAAAAGUAAAAAAAUAAGUUUUAAUAACUAAAUGGAGUAAUUUUUAAACAAUUAAAAAUAAGUUGGUUCAACUUAAUUAAGCUUGUAGAGGACAAAGCAAAUCAUGUUGUUUGUACGUAAGGAAUAGAGUUUACCUAACUAGAGAACUCUUGUGGCAUUUACGCUAUAGUGGCUAAGCUGAAGUAACUUAAAAAGAUCCAUGCAAAUUGUUACCUUAAUUUUUUUACGUUAAGCCAGCAGAUCUUUUUUUAGAGUGC